rfam:Sphaerobolus stellatus SS14 unplaced genomic scaffold SPHSTscaffold_1, whole genome shotgun sequence.
UGCGCCAUGGUUUAGUUGGCUAUAACGUCCGACUGUUAUACAUUCCUUGAUUUCGGGGCUUGACAACAAAUCGCAAGGUCGGGAGUUCGAGCCUCUCUGAGGCAG